rnacentral:rRNA from 1 species
GACGAACGCUGGCGGCGUGCUUAACACAUGCAAGUCGAACGGAAAGGCCCUGCUUUUGUGGGGUGCUCGAGUGGCGAACGGGUGAGUAACACGUGAGUAACCUGCCCUUGACUUUGGGAUAACUUCAGGAAACUGGGGCUAAUACCGGAUAGGAGCUCCUGCUGCAUGGUGGGGGUUGGAAAGUUUCGGCGGUUGGGGAUGGACUCGCGGCUUAUCAGCUUGUUGGUGGGGUAGUGGCUUACCAAGGCUUUGACGGGUAGCUGGCCUGAGCGGGUGACCGGCCCCAUUGGGACUGAGAUACGGCCCAGACUCCUACGGGAGGCAGCAGUGGGGAAUAUUGCACAAUGGGCGGAAGCCUGAUGCAGCAACGCCGCGUGCGGGAUGACGGCCUUCGGGUUGUAAACCGCUUUCGCCUGUGACGAAGCGUGAGUGACGGUAAUGGGUAAAGAAGCACCGGCUAACUACGUG